rnacentral:rRNA from 1 species
CGCGUAGGCGGAUCUUUAAGUCAGGGGUGAAAUCCUGGACGGGGGUCUCAACCUCAGAACUGCCCUUGAUACUGAAGAUCUUGAGUCCGGAAGAGGUUAGUGGAAUUCCCAGUGUAGAGGUGAAAUUCGUAGAUAUUGGGAAGAACACCAGUGGCGAAGGCGGCUAACUGGUCCGGUACUGACGCUGAGGUGCGAAAGCGUGGGGAGCAAACA